UGGAGAUUCAGACCCGGCGUGGACGCAGGAGCACUGCAAAUAGCUGGCCAUUUGGUGUUGGGUCAGAUUAGAGGCAAGAAGUCAGGGGCCCCAAGACAGUGUGUGACUUCCUAGGAGAUCAUCUCUGAGAGCAAGUAAGUCAGCACCAGAAAUGGCAGGGACCAGUCAGUCCAACUGGGAGGGACUUACCCAGCACCUUGGAUGUAAAAGCACUCGGCCAGGUGACUGGGAUGGCAGGACGUUCUUCCAUACUGAAAGACGUUCAGCACAGAAGUGUGUGACAACAGGAGACUUGAAAUUCCACAAAAGAUUGUCUGAAGUUUGGCUGGCCUGGCUAAAGUGUCUGAAGCGAUACAAAUGAAAUCAUGACUUUCCCUGUCUUCACCAAGGACAAAGGGUAUUGCUAAGUUGCCAAGACUGACGUUGAACUUGCCUCAGCCUCCUGCAUUGUUAGUAUUACAAGCAUACACCACCACACCCAGGUAAAUUUUCUUAAUGAUGACUUUUGAAAAGAAAAAAAAAAUGUUACUCUUUGUAGUUUGACUCCAUUUAAGACAACUUUGCCUCCCUCAAGGUUAUAAAGAUUUUCUCCCAUGUUCUAAUUACAAAUUUUGGCUUUUUUUUUUUUUGGUCAUUUAGGGUACAAUACAUUUCUCAUUUCUGUGAUGGUUUGAGGUAAGGAUUAAUGAGCUUUUUUUUUCCUACAUAGAUAUCCAGUUGUUCCAGCUCUGUUUGUGAAAAGUACUGUCCCUUUCCCAUUAAAUCGCCUAUUUCCCAUUGAAUUGCCUAUUUGUAGAAAAUGAAAUGACCAUAUAUAAAUAGGGUUAGUUCUGGAUUUAUUGUUUUGUUCCAUUGAUCUUUAUGCUGAUUCUUUCAUCAAUUAUCUUAAUUAUUGAAGCUUUAUAGUACAUCUUGAAAUCCGAUUGUUUCCUCCAGCUUUCUAGUUUUAAAAAUGACUUUUAUAUUUUUAAGUUUGCAGGAAUUUCCAUUUCCAUUUUAGGACGAGUCUCUCAAUUUCAACAAAAAUGCCCUGCAGGAGAUUGAGAUCGCAUUGACUCUAUAUGUCAAUUUGGGGAGGACUGAGAAUAUUGAGUUUUCAAUACUUGAACAUGUUACGUUUUCCCAUUUACUCAGGUCUUCUUCAAUUUCUCUCAGCAAUGUUUUAUUAUUUUUAGUGAAUGAGUCUUUCAUGUUUUUGAAUA